UACGGGGGGUGCAAGCGUUAUUCGGAAUUAUUGGGCGUAAAGGGCGCGUAGGCGGCCAUUUAAGUCGGGUGUGAAAUCCCGGGGCUUAACCCCGGAACUGCAUCCGAUACUGGGUGGCUUGAGUAUGGGAGAGGGAAGUGGAAUUCCAGGUGUAGAGGUGAAAUUCGUAGAUAUCUGGAGGAACACCAGUGGCGAAGGCGACUUCCUGGACCAAUACUGACGCUGAGGCG
rnacentral:rRNA from 1 species